UACAGAGGUCCCGAGCGUUUGUUCGGAUUCAUUGGGCGUAAAGGGUGCGUAGGCGGCGGGGUAAGUUUGAUGUGAAAUCCCGGGGCUCAACCCUGGAAUUGCAUUGAAUACUACCUUGCUAGAGUACCGGAGAGGAAACUGGAAUUUACGGUGUAGCAGUGAAAUGCGUAGAGAUCGUAAGGAAGACCAGUGGCGAAGGCGAGUUUCUGGACGGUAACUGACGCUGAGGCACGAAGGCCAGGGGAGCAAACGGG
rnacentral:rRNA from 1 species